GGUCAAGCUACAAAGGGCGCAUGGUGAAUGCCUUGGCAUCAGGAGCCGAUGAAGGACGCGAUAAGCUGCGAUAAGCUUCGGGUAGACGCACAUAGUCAGAGAUCCGAAGAUUUCCGAAUGAGGAAACUCACAUGGGAAACCCCAUGUAUCAUAAAGUGAAUACAUAGCUUUAUGAAGGUAUACCCAGGGAACUGAAACAUCUAAGUACCUGGAGGAAGAGAAAGAAAAAUCGAUUUUCUUAGUAGCGGCGAGCGAAAAGGAAAGAGCCCAAACCAGAGAUUUAUCUCUGGGGUUGCGGACAGAACAUAACGAGAAAUCAUAGUUAAUUGAACACAACUGGAAAGUUGGACCACAGUGGGUAAUAGUCCCGUAAGUGAAAACUAUGAUAAUCAGUUCUGCACCAGAGUACCACGAGACACGUGAAACCUUGUGGGAAGCAGGGAGGACCACCUCCCAAGGCUAAAUACUACCUGAUGACCGAUAGUGAAGCAGUACCGUGAGGGAAAGGUGAAAAGAACCCCGGGAGGGGAGUGAAAUAGAACCUGAAACCAUGUGCCUACAACCGAUCAGAGCACCUUAUGUGUGUGAUGAUGUGCUUUUUGUAGAACGAGCCAACGAGUUACGGUAUGUAGCGAGGUUAAGUACUUAAGGUACGGAGCCGAAGGGAAACCGAGUCUUAAUAGGGCGACUAGUUGCAUGCUGUAGACCCGAAACCGGGUGACCUAUCCAUGGCCAGGUUGAAGCGAGGGUAAAACCUCGUGGAGGACCGAACCACGUUGCUGUUGAAAAAGCAUGGGAUGAGCUGUGGAUAGCGGAGAAAUUCCAAUCGAACUCGGAUAUAGCUGGUUCUCCUCGAAAUAGCUUUAGGGCUAGCGUCGGAAAAUGUGAGUAGUGGAGGUAGAGCACUGAAUAGGCUAGGGGGCAUAGCGCUUACCGAACCUUAUCAAACUCCGAAUGCCACAUACUAUCAGUCCGGCAGUCAGACUAUGAAAGAUAAGUUCCAUGGUCAAAAGGGAAACAGCCCAGAUCGUCAGCUAAGGUCCCAAAGUGUAAGUUAAGUGGAAAAGGAUGUGGGAUUUCUAAGACAACUAGGAUGUUGGCUUAGAAGCAGCCACUCAUUAAAAGAGUGCGUAAUAGCUCACUAGUCAAGAGAUCCUGCGCCGAAAAUGUCCGGGGCUCAAACUUACCACCGAAGCUACGGGUUCACGCAUUAGCGUGAGCGGUAGAGGAGCGUCGUAAUCGGGCUGAAGUCGUACCGUAAGGAGCGGUGGACUGAUUACGAGUGAGAAUGUUGGCAUUAGUAGCGAGAUGUAGGCGAGAAUCCUACAGGCCGAAUAUCUAAGGUUUCCUGAGUAAAGUUUGUCUUCUCAGGGUUAGUCGGGACCUAAGGCGAGGCCGAAAGGCGUAGUCGAUGGACAAUUGGUUGAUAUUCCAAUACCACUAUAAUCGUUAUUAUCGAUGGUGUGACGGAGAAGGAUAGGAUGUGCUAGCUAUUGGAUGCUAGUCUAAGCGUUUAGGGAGUUGGGAUUGGCAAAUCCGUUCCAACAAUUCUGAGGCGUGAUGGGGAAGGUUCUACGGAACCGAAGUAUCUGAUUCCAUGCUUCCAAGAAAAGCAUCUAGAGAGAGAAGUAGUGCCCGUACCGCAAACCGACACAGGUAGAUGAGGAGAGAAUCCUAAGGCCGACGGAAGAAUUGCAGUUAAGGAACUAGGCAAAUUGACCCCGUAACUUCGGGAGAAGGGGUGCCUGAGAAAUCAGGCCGCAGAGAAUAGGCACAAGCAACUGUUUAACAAAACACAGGUCUCUGCUAAAGCGAAAGCUGAUGU
rnacentral:rRNA from 1 species